rnacentral:rRNA from 1 species
UACGUAGGGUGCAAGCGUUGUCCGGAAUUAUUGGGCGUAAAGAGCUCGUAGGCGGUCUGUCGCGUCUGCUGUGAAAACCCGGGGCUCAACCCCGGGCUUGCAGUGGAUACGGGCAGACUAGAGUUCGGUAGGGGAGGCUGGAAUUCCUGGUGUAGCGGUGAAAUGCGUAGAGAUCGGGAGGAACACCAGUGGCGAAGGCGACUACCUGGACCAGCACUGACACUGAGGCACGAAAGCGUGGGGAGCAAACAGG